AUUGAACGCUGGCGGCAUGCCUUACACAUGCAAGUCGAACGGUAACAGGGAGCUUGCUCCGCUGACGAGUGGCGAACGGGUGAGUAAUGUAUCGGAACGUACCUUUCAGUGGGGGAUAACGUAGCGAAAGUUACGCUAAUACCGCAUAUUCUGUGAGCAGGAAAGCAGGGGAUCGCAAGACCUUGCGCUGAUUGAGCGGCCGAUAUCAGAUUAGCUAGUUGGUGGGGUAAAAGCUCACCAAGGCGACGAUCUGUAGCGGGUCUGAGAGGAUGAUCCGCCACACUGGAACUGAGACACGGUCCAGACUCCUACGGGAGGCAG
rnacentral:rRNA from 1 species